AGCGAACGCUGGCGGCAGGCCUAACACAUGCAAGUCGAGCGCCGUAGCAAUACGGAGCGGCAGACGGGAGAGUAACACGUGGGAACGUACCCUUUGGUUCGGAACAACCCAGGGAAACUUGGGCUAAUACCGGAUAAGCCCUCACGGGGAAAGAUUCAUCGCCGAAGGAUCGGCCCGCGUCUGACUAGCUAGUUGGUGGGGUAAUGGCCCACCAAGGCGACGAUCAGUAGCUGGUCUGAGAGGAUGAUCAGCCUCACUGGGACUGAGACACGGCCCAGACGCCUGCGGGAGGCGGCAGUGGAGAAUAUUGGACAAUGGGCGCAAGCCUGAUCCAGCCAUGCCGCGUGGGUGAUGAAGGCCCUAGGGUUGUAAAGCCCUUUCGGCGGGGAAGAUAAUGACGGUACCCGCAGAAGAAGCCCCGGCUAACUUCGUGCCAGCAGCCGCAGUAAAAC
rnacentral:rRNA from 1 species